ensembl:lncRNA
GGGACUUUACACUGAAGUAGGCAUCCUGAUUGCUGCUUUCAUUAAUAUGGAUUCAAAACUAGUUGAUCACUGUGGUCCUUUUCAACCCAGGACAUUGUACGAUUCUGUGACUGACGAUGGCCCCACCAGCUCACAAAACAUAAGCAUGAACCAAGCACCAUGUGAGCCCUGCUGGUGUAACAGGCUGCCUGAGAGUGAACACACCGUGAGAAGAACUUGGCUCAGCAGGCCCAAGCCAAAAAGGAAAGCAAGGAUGUACAGAAGAAUGCGGAUCACUGAGAUGUCAGAUCAGCUACUCUGCUUUGUGACUACAGAGAAUAAAGGAGGAUGGCAGAUCCUGCACUUCCCAGCUAAGUGCUUUUGAUCAGUGGUCAACACGGUGAUGAAUGCUUUUCCAUCGCACCCUUCAUCCCAUGCAUUUUCAAGGCUGCUUAGAGGUGGGAAGGCAAGAAGAAAGAAUACUGUGAUCCGACAGAAUUCAAUUUCCUGAAAAAAAUAAAUCUUUUUUUUUUCCCUAUGACCUAAAUGGAAAACAUAUUGUUCUGAAAGUGCUGUUCAAACUGAAUUACCGAAACCUUUUAUCAACAAAGAGGCCGUCAUAUAUCAGACAUCUGGUGGGGAUGUCAAUUAUAAUAAUUAAUUAGACAUCUCCCCAGAUGCCUGACACUACAUUCUGUCAGCAGAUUUUUUGACUUCAAUCAAAACUGCUGCUGCAUUAUGCAUGAAACUCAUGGAGUAGUUGGGAGUCGAGGAGAUCAGCUACAAAUCACAGCCAAGCACACGGAAGGCCUCCUGGUUCUGAUGGCUUCUACCACUUUUGAAGGCUGCCAAGAGAAGGUCACAUGCACUGAUUUCUUCUCUUUCCUUAACGUUUUCAAGUGCAUCACACUUUUUCACGCAGGCAUUCAAACGAAAAAGAGGAGUGGUGAGGAAUAUCAUUCAUAAACCAAAGGGAAAGGCUGCCACUGCGUCCCUGUGGUGGGGAAGAAGGAAGUCCCACAUGCAGUCACCAAUCCGAAGUGUAACCACAAUGGAGCAUCUUCAUUUGUUCCUCCUGUGACCAUACCAGCAGCACUGGUUUAGCACCACAGAAGGAGACAGAAGAAGACGGCCCUGCAUCAUUUUCUUCUCUAUAUUUUUUAAUUCUUCCUUUUUUUUUUCAUAAUUAAAUGGAAAAUAAAUUAAUUCCUGGGUUAUUU